rnacentral:sRNA from 1 species
ACACUUAGUUUCUAUAUCGAAGGUGUAA